UUACACAAAUAUGAAGGCGGGCUGGAACCUCUCGGGGGUUACAGCCUUGCUGAAUUAUUCACCCUUGUCUUUUGCGUACUUCUUGUUUCCUUGGUGGGUUCGCCCACCACUAGGACAAACAUAAACCUUUUGUAAUUGCAAUCAGCGUCAGUAACAAAAUAAUAAUUACAACUUUCAACAACGGAUCUCUUGGUUCUGGCAUCGAUGAAGAACGCAGCGAAAUGCGAUAAGUAGUGUGAAUUGCAGAAUUCAGUGAAUCAUCGAAUCUUUGAACGCACAUUGCGCCCUUUGGUAUUCCAAAGGGCAUGCCUGUUCGAGCGUCAUUUGUACCCUCAAGCUUUGCUUGGUGUUGGGCGUCUUGUCUCUAGCUUUGCUGAGACUCGCCUUAAAGUAAUUGGCAGCCGGUCUACUGGUUUCGGAGCGCAGCACAAGUCGCACUCUCUAUCAGCAAAGGUCUAGCAUCCAUUAAGCCUUUUUUCAACUUUUGACCUCGGAUCAGGUAGGGAUACCCGCUGAACUUAAGCAUAUCAAUAAACGAAAGAAAAAAUUAAACAAUUUNAAGGCGGGCGGGAACCCCGGGGGGUUAAGCCGGCGAAAUAUUACCUGUUUUGGCNACUCUGUUNCUGGUGGGUGCCANAGAACAUACUUGUAUCAUACUGUACAAAUAUACUACACAUCUGGUUGCUAUAAACCAAUCAUAUUGUUUAUUACAAUUUAAAAUUC
rnacentral:rRNA from 1 species